rnacentral:rRNA from 1 species
GACGAACGCUGGCGGCGUGCCUAACACAUGCAAGUGGAGCGACGAACCGGGCUUCGGCCCGGGGCCAAGCCGCGAACGGGUGAGUAACACGUGGGUAACCUGCCCUGAUGAUUGGGACAACCCGAGGAAACUCGGGCUAAUACCGAAUGUGCCCUCCGACCAUAAGGUCUGCGGGGAAAGGAAGCUUCGGCCUCCGCAUCGGGAUGGGCCCGCGGCGCAUUAGCUUGUUGGUGAGGUAACGGCUCACCAAGGCGACGAUGCGUAGCUGGUCUGAGAGGACGAUCAGCCACACUGGGACUGAGACACGGCCCAGACUCCUACGGGAGGCAGCAGUGGGGAAUCUUGCGCAAUGCGCGAAAGCGUGACGCAGCAACGCCGCGUGGGGGAAGACGGUCUUCGGGUUGUAACCCUUCAGUUGGGACGAAGCUUUGCCGGUGAAUAGCCGGUUGGAGUGACGGUACCUUCAGAAGAAGCCCGGCUAACUACGUGCCAGCAGCCGCUGUAAU